GACGAACGCUGGCGGCGUGCCUAACACAUGCAAGUCGAACGGAAAGGCCCUGCUUUUGUGGGGUGCCCGAGUGGCGAACGCGUGAGUAACACGUGAGUAUCCUGCCCUUGUCUUUCGGGUAACUUCAGGAAACUGGGGCUAAUACCGGAUAGGAUCUCCUGCUGCAUGGUGGGGGUUGGAAAGUUUCGGCGGUUGUGGAUGGACUCGCGGGUUAUCGGCUUGUUGGUGGGGUAGGGGAUUGCCAAGUAAUUGGCGGGUAGCCGACAUGGGAGGGUGGCCGGGCACCAUGGGACUGAGGGACGGCCCAGUGUCCAACGGUGGGCAGCGGUGGGAAAUAUUGUACAAUGGGCGGAAGCGUGAGGCAGCAGCGCUGCGUUCGGAAAGCCGGCCUUCUGGUUGUGAACCGCUGUCGCCUGAGACGAAGCGUGAGUGACGGUAAUGGGUAAAGAAGCACCGGCUAACUACGUG
rnacentral:rRNA from 1 species